AACACUGUUAACCUGCGGUACCUGCGGAAGGAUCAUUAAAGAUUGACCGAGAGGUCUUAUCUCUAUAUCCCUCACCUCUGUGAACUGUGGACCUCCGGGUCUGUCUUUACAAACAUCAGUGUAAUGAACGUAUAUAUCAUUAAACAAAACAAAACUUUUAGCAAUGGAUCU
rnacentral:misc_RNA from 1 species